UUUUCUUCCAUGGAAAAGGAAACUCCGGCAAAUGGUAUUUAAGUAGGCAGAGGACCAUUCCGGGGGGCUGGCUCUAGUGCCAUCAAGGCCGCAUUCCUUCGGCCAUCAGACCAGUAGGUAACUUCUUCAUUGGCAUGCUCUACCCUGGAGCCCAGAAGGUGUGAAUUUGAAGCACUUUGCCCCCCGCGGGGAGCCUGGCACCGAUGAUGCCCUGGGCUUCUUUGAAAACCGUGGAGUGCCGUGGUUGUCUUCCAAGUGGUCUUCUUGCUGCGUGAAACCGGGGCCCAGGGUAGUUGCUUGAAGAAGGCUGCUGGGGAGGCAGGGCACGGGAUAACGUGGCUGCCUGGCCUCUCUUUCUCAAGCCAUCUUCUUGGGAGUGGCAGGGUUCUCGGUGUGAUGUACUUUAUGAGUCACCUGCCCCAGGACCCGAGUAUCUCUCUCACUUCCAGUCAGGUCUAGCCUCCUAUGGUGCAACUGGCUGUCAGAAACCUUUAUGGGUCUGGAUUCUUUGGAUGUAGUGAUGUGGGACCCAAGACCCCUUGGGUCUGCCUAGGUAGUCAGGGUCCAGUGAUAGCAUCGGAAUUGUUCUGGAAACAUAUCUGGGUCUGUGCUUUGCUGUAGUGGAGGCCUGUCAGUCUCCUAAGACAGUCUCAGGCCUUCUCCAGAGCAUUGGUGCCCCCCCCCCGCCCCCCAUCCCCAAAAGAGUGUCCAGGUAUGUGAAUGCCCAGGCAUUCACAGGGGCAGUGGGGGUGGGCUGGUGGCGCCUUAUCUCACUUGGCUGCCCACCCCCAGAGAGAAGAACCCAGUCCUUGGCCACUCCAGGUCCAGGCGUGGCUGCCGCUCUGUUUUGCUGCUUUUCAUGUUGUCGGAGGAUCUUCUUGGGAACAAAUGACUCAGCAACCUGGAUCUCCGGGACUGAGUGUGGCAUAAGUGCCUUUUGAGGAGCGAUUGGACGGAUCCACCCCGUCUCUAAAAUUCUGAGCUCAGGAAGAAUGGAGACCCAGACGCUUUUGCUCUGGAUUCUUCAGGCUGCCAUUCAAUUUGGGCUCUCCGGUUCCUGCCCCGAUACAGGGAUCUCACCCGUGGGAUAAGCCAGGCAAUGUUUUAAUUACACUUUUUGUCUUUAGGAAAUUCCAGGGAGAAAAAGGUCCUGGUUGGUGGCCAAAAAAGCAAAACGCAGCACAGACCAGCUGCGCUGUGAAUCUGGACUUGUCUGUGGCAGAAAGAGUUAACAGGACAGUGGUCUCAGGGUGAGGACCAUUUUUUUCUUAUGGCCAGCCAGGAAAAGCUCACAGGGCCUUCUCCCAGGGCUCAAGAAAAGAUGACGCAACAUUUGGUGUGGGACAGCCCUGUCUGCCUUGUGGGCGCCGUCCCUCAAAGAGUUAAGCUGGCCUUGUGGCUGGGAAGCCCUCAGGGAAGGUGUGAGCCUGCAGGGACCAGGCUCUCGAUGCCCCAGAGCAGUGAGGUGUGGGGUAAAAAUGGGACGGGGGAAAGUGUGGCCAGGGAGCCGAGUGCAGGCCCAACUUUUUUUUUUUUUUUUUUGCCUUGUUUGACCAGCCUUGGCACUGCCCUCAGGCUCUCCAGGGGAAAAGCUGCAGUUCUGCUCUUGCAACACAAGGAGCAGACUGGAGAAUUUAGAUCUGCGUCACAGAGCUCAGAGAGAGAGAGGGGGGGAGAGGGAGAGAGAGAGAGCGCUCCGUCGAUAGGUCUGCUAGCAACAGCCGUGCUGCAGCAGAGAGAGAGAAAUCAAGAAACAAGUCAUAGCAACACCGGGCACCAGGUUCUGCCAGCUCACUUGCCAAGCCGUUCAGAAAUCUGCUGGGGGCUGGAGGCCUCUGGGUAGCCUAGGCUAUAAGAGGAUGAUACGCAAGGUGGCACGGGCGGUUCCCGUGGGGAGGAGGUGGGGAGGGGGGGCAGGGGUGGGAGCAAGAGGUGGUGGGGCCACGGUGGAAGACUUAACCGGACCGAUUUCUGGAACAUUCGAGACUGCGGCAUCUUACAGCCGGACCAAGAUUUGGGUCUGCGCAGCCGGCGAUGGGCGGUCCGAUGGGCUUCAGGACUUGAUGGCGUAACCCUCUUCUUCCCCCACAGAACUCAAGAGGAGUUGAGCUCCGUGAAUGACAACUUCGUGGAGACACGGCCCAACUGAGGAUAGUGCUGGUUGCAGAAGACAGCGGCCAUACUGUGGGGUCAUGUGCGCCCGUCUGCAUUUAUUUGUCACCCCCCAAAAAGAGACAGAUGUGUGGCAGCCUGGCUCCGUGCAAUGCGGAUGGAUACAAAGGUCAUAUGGAUGAGGGUACUGACGGAGGAGGGGCUGACAGCCUCGAUGGAUUUGGACUUCGGACGAGGAGAGACCAGGCCCUGGAUGUGGCUGAAGGAACAGCGUGACCCGUGGCGAAGACCAGCCUCUGGUGCUGUUGAGCCACCACUGCGGUUCCGGGACUCAAAAGUGCUGAUGGAUGUGGCGCAUCACCAGGCCGCUCCGUGGAAACCUGAUGCAGCAUGGAAAAUAUGACUUAACCCCUUCCCGGCCGCCCAGGAACUUGACCAGUCUCAGCCCCUCCAGCAGUAAUGGAGCAAGCGAUGGCUACGGGUGUUGGGUCUGGAACAUGAAUAAAGAGGAGGGAUCGACUUUGGUGCCGCUGGGGAGACGAAGAGGCGCCGGCCAAGUCCCUCAAGAUGUGCCGGCGAGAGUCCGGCCAGCGCCGGCUGUGGGGCUAGAGCCAGACGGAGCUGUUGGCCAUGCUCGAGGGCCUCUGCUCUCCCGUGUGCGGUGCAUCCCUGGCCCGGCUCUGGGUGACCCUCACUCCCAUUCACAGCCCUGCCUGUCCAGAUUGGGAGGACCAGGGUGGGAAGCUACGGGGCAGUUGCCUGUCACCUCUGGCCUUUCCAGCCCCGGGUUGGCGCUUCCCUGUUGAUUUUCCUGUGUGUGUUCCUCGCCUCAUUCUUUUGUCCCUGCUCACCAGCCUGGAGCACUGUGUGUUGCAAGUCAGGCCAGCAGAACAGUUGACACCUCCUGGGGAGGGCGGGAGGGGGCGUGUGUGUGGGUAGGACAGGCAUAUCUGGCACUUUUUUCUUGACCUUUGGAUCCUUGUGGUCUGGAAGCCAGGAGGCAGGGUGAGGCCUUUCCAUCUGAGUCCAGCAGAGGUUAACCGAGCUGGUGGCACCCGAGCUGUGGUGGCGUGGCUUGGGCAGCGGGCAUUGGAGGCGGGGCCCUGCCAGGGGACCUGAUUGGUCAGCACCUUCUCGGUCCCAUUGAAUCCCGGUCUGGUCGGGGCUGUGGACGGUUUAAUGCAUGCCUUGGCCCUGUCCCCUGGCACCGGUGCCCCCGAGGCUGCAGCCACA